rnacentral:rRNA from 1 species
CCUACGGGGGGCAGCAGUGGGGAAUAUUGGACAAUGGGGGGAACCCUGAUCCAGCCAUGCCGCGUGUGUGAAGAAGGCCCUCGGGUUGUAAAGCACUUUCAGUGAGGAAGAACGCCUGGUGGUUAAUACCCAUCAGGAAAGACAUCACUCACAGAAGAAGCACCGGCUAACUCCGUGCCAGCAGCCGCGGUAAUACGGAGGGUGCGAGCGUUAAUCGGAAUUACUGGGCGUAAAGCGCGCGUAGGUGGCUUGAUAAGCCGGUUGUGAAAGCCCCGGGCUCAACCUGGGAACGGCAUCCGGAACUGUCAAGCUAGAGUGCAGGAGAGGAAGGUAGAAUUCCCGGCGUAGCGGUGAAAUGCGUAGAGAUCGGGAGGAAUACCAGUGGCGAAGGCGGCCUUCUGGACUGACACUGACACUGAGGUGCGAAAGCGUGGGUAGCAAACAGGAUUAGAUACCCUAGUAGUC